GCCUCUCCCCGAGCCGGAGCCCCUCCUUGUCUGCUCCAUGGCCGAAGCCUCACCGCCGGCCGCCGCCUAAAUUGAUCCAGUGCCGUGCUCCCCUUGCCUCCCUUCCUCCACCAGUAGGAUCCCCGGAGUCCGGCGACCCAUUCCCCCUCGUUCCCUCGGCUACAAGUCACCGGAGCCCCGCGACCAUCUCUUCCCGAAGCCGACGUCCGCCCUGUCUCUACCCGUCGCCCCUCAGCCCUUCCUUGGUGUCCGCAACCGGUCCGGGCGGACACGGCGCUCCGCCCCGAGCGCGCAGGUGCCCCUGCCAUCGCCGGAGGUGGCCGGAGCCGCCGGGCCCGUCGCCGGUGUCGCGGCGCCUGGCCUCUGCCUCGCCCCUCUCUCUGCUUCUGUCGGGCGCGAGCGAGAAGAAGGAGCGGGAGGAGAGAGAAAGGACUAGGGCCCAACCCGUCAGUCGCACGAGGGGUUGACCCCGGGCUCUGACAUGGAUAAGUGGCCGCGUACUUCUGAAAAUGUGCUUUCCCUAAGCCGAAAGUGUAUUCUUUCUCUUCUUCAGGCCAGAAUGCGCUUUCCUCUCUGGAAAGCUUAUUUCUGAGAAAGGCACGUUCAGUUUUUCCUCCAGGGGCCUGUUUGCUGAAAAAAUUUCACCGAUAGGUCCCUGAGCUUCAACCCUUCGUAUCUCAACAACCGUAACUCCAAUUGAGCCCCCUCCGAGAGAGAACUGUUUCCGGCUACUCUUUCCGUGAUCGUUUCACACUUCUUCCCGAAGUAUUUGUCGACCCCUAGGCAAGCCAACCUCUUAUUAUGAGCCCCAAACUUGCAUGUUGACUUUGCUUGCACCUCGUGUGUGUUUAGUUGCAGUAGUUUCUUGUCUGUUCCGUCUGCUGAUAUUUUAGUCAUGCUAUAUGUUUUUGUUAUCUGUCUUGCAUGCUUAUGCUUUCAUGAAAUAACUUGACAUGCUAGUUUACUGUUGUUACUGAUAA